UUCCCUCUGGUGAAGAGUCGCCGAGUUGGCGGCCUGUCCGGAUCGAUCCCGGACUAACCAGGGGGUUUUUU
rnacentral:sRNA from 12 species